AAACUGACAAGUAAUUACAAGGGAGGCGGGGAACAACCAGGGGCAAAUCAGAGAUUUGUUGUGGUGCCUGGUCUUUAUAGCUUCCCGAAAAUAUUCGUUGGAUGGAUGGUGGAGAGGAGGCUCCCACUUUCUAAAUGGAUAUAAAUGAAAAAACUGAAGCUCAGAGAGAUGAACCAACCUGCUGAAGAAUCCACAGUUGAGAUGUGGCAGGCCAGGUGUGGAGCUCGGACUGGUCCACACUUGCCUCGAUGCUGUGCUCUCUGACUAUCAUGAUCAUCCCGCCACCACCAUCCUCAACCCCGUAGCUCAGCCAAGCUCCAGUCCUCACAGAUGCUGCAGCAAUGGCCACCAGGCUUGGUCCUGGGCUGGCCCCCUUCACCUGGGGUCAUGAGCCAUGAAGUUGAUUUACUGACCCACGAAUGGGUCACAACCCGCAGUUUGGAAACACCUGGCUGGACCCGCACCUGUGCUUUCCAGCUACUCCUAGAGCCUCCGGGCCCCAGGAAGGCGGCGUGAU